CAAUGCCAAACCGAGUGGUUCAGUUUCGACUAAGCCGGCAGCAGGUGUGGAUCGGUGUUUUGUUUGUUCGCGAGGCUGCCCCAGCUGGUGUUCCACGUGGAUACGCUUUCGAGUUGUCUUGGGGACACACAAGUUCAAGUUCUUGGGACACUUGCGACGAGAGUGAGAGCAGUAGCUACCGGGAAUUGGUUUUCUGCCCGAGAAAGUUCAGUGUUUUUUAAGGACGGGGAGAUUUCCCGGGAAAGGAAUUUUCCUUUAAUUUUGCGCGAACGGAAAAACGGAAAAAGACCUAGAGUGGGGUGCAUUGUUACAAGACGAUUUAAUUCUGGAGGUGGAAAGUGAUUUCUUCGUCGUAAAAGAAGUCAAACGACGCUUGGAAGGUCUCUUUUGAAAGCCGCCGGCCGCGCUUGUGUCCACGGAGGGAAAUCAUCGCCCAAUUGAUUGCUGGAAAACUGCCAAUCUGAACAUAAACAGACACAAAGUUUGGUGUAGUUCUGUGAGGGGGUUCAAAUCAAUCGAGGGGGGCGAAAGCCAAGUGCGCGUGGAAAAUUGAAUUGUCUGACGUCUGUUGGAGAGGCAGCAGCAGCAGCGAAAAAAAAAGUUUACAAUUUGUGCUUGUUUGGUUGGUUUUCCGCAGUGUAAGCGGUGGAGGCAGGAAAAUUGCUUUCCAGAAAAGCAGACCAACCAAGAAGGGAGUUGUUCGUGUAAACAAGAUUACUACUGCAUAGCAGCAUAGCAGCAUAUCUGCGAGAGUGUGCUGAGCGUAAGAAGCAUAAAAAUUACAAAUUGAAUCGUUCUCGUGUAAUAGCAUGUGAAUUUGAUUUGUGUAUAAAGUGUUCGUGUGAAGAGGCAAAAUCCAGAAGAAUAUACACUUUUCUGGAUAAGUAAAAAAAAGGCAAAGUGCGAGAACCUCUUUGCGAAGGAAAAAGCAAUUUUAACAGCACAUAUUUGAAGCAGUAGUAGCAGCUACUAGAGCGUUAAUGUUAAGUGGCAGUUACUUGUGAAGAUUUUCAAAGUGGCACCAGAGUAGCGGAGAAGUGUAAAUCGAGAUAUAAUUACGUUGAUCACCGGAGUGUGUUUAUCGACGCAACGAGGGAUAUUUGUAGCAGUGCAGAGUCUGGUUCUGAAAGUUUGCUGAAACUUUUUGCGAGACAAUUGGAAAUCAAGGUAAGGAAAAAUACAUCAUUUGAGAACGGUAAGCCUCAAGUUGUAGUAAACCCAUUUUAUUAUCUAUUUUUAUAUAGAGAUUGCCCCUGAAAGCAGGCAAACCAAGUUCGCCCAUUUUGCUGUCUCCUGGAGUUAGGCAAACUCACCAUAAAUUGGAAUUUUAAAUUUCCAACUAAGAAACAUCACAAAAUUAAUAUUUAAAGCCCAAACUUUGUUCGCUUCUCAGCUAAUGACAACCAAUUUCCGUUCGGUGAAAUAUAAUUAAAACUUGCUUUUGGUGUAACACCUUCUCGUUGGCACCGUCUUCCUCUCAACCCCUCUCUCAAAACUUUGAGUUCCACAGAUGGCACUUUUGGGGGCCUGGUGUUGGAGAUUUUGUUGAUCUUUGCGAUUUGUACUCUCACGCACAAGACGACACCAUCGGUUUGAUCUUCCCGAUAACCUCCGCAAAAACUCAACUUUGGAUGAGAUGAAAAAGGGGUGGGGUUGUUGGGUGGAAGUGGGAUUGAGGAGCGUAUUUAAGGAGAAUUAGUCUGACUGGAGCGAAAAGUUAAUUCCGUUUCGGAUCGAGCUUUUGCCACCUCCCUGCCUCACUCGACUUCACUUUGUUUGACUUUUUCCUCAGGAGAAGUAACUCGUUUGGAUUUCUCACGAUUUUUAAUCUGAGAAAUUAUUUUAAAAUAAUCUGUUAAAAAAAUCUACUUGUUUCUGCAUUCUGUUUAAAUUUUUAUUAUGUUUUCUGUGUGAGCAGUUCUUUCUGUGUUACGCCAAAGACUACGUUUCCUCAACAGAGUAGUUAAUUCAACAUCCUCCGGAAAGCCAACAUUCCGCUCAAACCAGCAACUGUUGCGCUUUUCCUCCCCUCCCAACAUUCGGAAAACCCAAAGCUACUCGCAGGAUUAUCUGUGGGAAAGAUCAAUUCCGUCAGUGCUGCUAUUGCCAAGCCCAGCCAACAACUUUUCCGAAGAUGAUGACGACGACGACGACGGGAACGAUAAUGUGUGGUGAAGUGUUUCGGCUUGUGAAAGUUGUUCAGCUGGAAAACUGGCUUCGAUGUGGGAGGAUAUGUGUACGGUUGUCUGUACUUUGUUCCAUAGCAUUUACAAGACAAAAACCGAUUCAUGUGGAAAAGAAAAGCGCCGGUUGAAGGCUUUGCCAAAGAAGUGAAACUAAUUUGCCCCAAAAGAGUACUUCUUUUGAGCUUUGGUCUGUUUGGAAGUUCUUUUCCAGCCGAGUGAGCGUAGGAAAAGUCAGCGUCUGGCGAUGGGGUGGGGAAGAACUUCCACGUACUUAUGAAUAAAAUCGUCGAUAAAAGAAAUGCUCAUUGUGUCGAUGAUGAUGUUGCUUGAACAGGGAGAGCGUUGAUAACAUUACUUGAUUUUGUGGGGAGUGCUUUUUAUGGGAAAGAGCCUUUUCAUUUACUUCGUUCCAAGAAGCGAGAAAAUAGAACUUUUGUUAUGAUUAUUCUUUUUCACUGAUUACAUUUUGUCAUAAAAAUCAAUAAAUUAUGACAACUCUGCAAUCUGACAAAAACAGAAUCGUUAACUAUAAUAACGGUGUAAAUCAUGUACAAUAAUUACCAGACUCACUUUCUAUAUUGGGAGUACCUUGCUGCGUAAACGUUCCCAUUUUCAGGUCUUCUAGGUAAUUUCCGCUGUGCCCCCCCAAAAGCCAUUAAAACCACCCACCGUCAGGGUUGAUUAUUAUUUCACGACCACCCAUACACGCACACUAGCACACAUGUUCUCCUCUAUUGGGUGGCAGCGUAAACGAGUAAACGAUUACACGUUGUAGUUAGGAUGACACACAUUUCCCUUCAUAUAUUAACGACCUUUUCCAGCUCUGCCUCCUCCUCUAAACAUCAACAUUAUAGAGGUUAAUAACGCUGAUUUGAUGUGGUUUUGGGUACACGUGUCACUAACGGAUGUCACGCUGCGAGUUGACCUUGUUUUGUGUUGAACUCAAAGUGGUUGUUUUGGAACAUUUAAACAAAAAAAAAUAAUCAAAAUGGUUUUAACUUGCUGACAUUCGAUGGUAGACUUGUAGAUUCCAAAUCUGGAUAAUCCGUGGAUCACUGAAAAUAUACGCACUUAAAUGCAAAAAUACAAAAAUACAAAAAUACAAAAAUACAAAAAUACAAAAAUACAAAAAUACAAAAAUGCAAAAAUACAAAAAUACA
rnacentral:lncRNA from 1 species